CAAGUCGAGCGAAUCUUUGGGAGCUUGCUCCCAAAAGUUAGCGGCGGACGGGUGAGUAACACGUGGGCAACCUGCCUAUAAGACUGGGAUAACUUCGGGAAACCGGAGCUAAUACCGGAUAAUUCUUUUCUACACAUGUAGGAAAGCUAAAAGACGGUUUACGCUGUCACUUAUAGAUGGGCCCGCGGCGCAUUAGCUAGUUGGUGAGGUAACGGCUCACCAAGGCCACGAUGCGUAGCCGACCUGAGAGGGUGAUCGGCCACACUGGGACUGAGACACGGCCCAGACUCCUACGGGAGGCAGCAGUAGGGAAUCUUCCGCAAUGGACGAAAGUCUGACGGAGCAACGCCGCGUGAGUGAUGAAGGUUUUCGGAUCGUAAAACUCUGUUGUUAGGGAAGAACAAGUACGAGAGUAACUGCUCGUACCUUGACGGUACCUAACCAGAAAGCCACGGCUAACUACGUGCCAGCAGCCGCGGUAAUACGUAGGUGGCAAGCGUUGUCCGGAAUUAUUGGGCGUAAAGCGCGCGCAGGCGGUCCUUUAAGUCUGAUGUGAAAGCCCACGGCUCAACCGUGGAGGGUCAUUGGAAACUGGGGGACUUGAGUGCAGGAGAGAAGAGUGGAAUUCCACGUGUAGUGGUGAAAUGCGUAGAGAUGUGGAGGAACACCAGUGGCGAAGGCGACUCUUUGGCCUGUAACUGACGCUGAGGCGCGAAAGCGUGGGGAGCAAACAGGGAUUAGAUACCCUGGUAGUCCACGCCGUAAACGAUGAGUGCUAAGUGUUAGAGGGUUUCCGCCCUUUAGUGCUGCAGUAAACGCAUUAAGCACUCCGCCUGGGGGAGUACGGCC
rnacentral:rRNA from 1 species